GUAGGGGUGUCUUCUGUUAUUCAAGAGCCCCUUUCUCUCACAUGGGUGUUUAUGCUGAGGAGGUGACUUAGGGUGGGGCCGCUAGAUAGCCCCAGGAUAAAGCUGGUGGCCAGAAAGACCCUGUGAUCAGAGAGAUGGGACUUCCAGCCCCAUCCACCAACCUCCGAGAAGGGGAGCAGGGCUGAAGAUUAAUUUCUAUCAACCUCUUGAGCAAUGGAGAUUUGAUGAGCUUUUAGGCAUCAGGCAAGAGCCUACCAAGGAGUUUGUGAGUUUUUAAAAAGGUUUUUACUUCGAGUGACAAGGUCAGCAAUAGAACACUCUCACACCAUUAAGAUCCUAACUGGUUAAAAGCCUUACAGUGAUAUUCAGAAGCUACUUUUCAGAAGAAACCAACCAACAGCAAAUGAAAUCAGAUUUCUUGAGGAGAGCCCUGGGAGGCAGGUGGAUUAAUGGUAAGUGGUCAACUUUGCAACAGAUACAAGAGGGUGGAUUUUGUCAGAUAAUCAGCAAGCCUAUGUUUUCAAAACCAGAUCAACAGCUCAACAUUCCGUGUCUCAUGUGAGACCGUACCCUGGGAUGCGGCAUAAGCUCACUAGCAAGUGUUUCUUUCCCCCCACUUCCUCUUCCGGGGAUGAAUCCCCACUGUAUGCAGACCAACACACCAGUCAUCAGGGGGACCCCCAGAGCUGAAACAACCAGACCUUUCAUCUGAGAAAAUACAUCCCCAUCUCAUAUGAAAAUUGUGUGGAUCCAAAAUGCUUUUUUAAAUUAAAUUUUGUACUUUUUCGCCAGUUGGAAUAUACUUUACACCUUUCCUAAAUGGCUUGACAGUUUUUUUUUUAAUUUAAAACAAUAGUACUAAAAUUGAAUUUUAAAAUUAAAGAUGAAAGACAAUAAGAAAAACUGGUCAAAGCAAAGCCUGCGUUGGAACCAAUCUACCAGAAAGUCCUGCAGAAUUGUUCAGGCUUCUCAAACCCCACUCCGCUUAUAUCAAACCAGAGGAAUGGAGUCCUUCAGACAGCUAGCAGAUUUUGAUUCCAUUCAUGCAAAAAAAUGGUCAGCGCUGACUCUGGAAUGCGCCCCUCCCAG
rnacentral:lncRNA from 1 species